rnacentral:rRNA from 1 species
AGAAUCAACGCUGGCGGCGUGCCUAACACAUGCAAGUCGCACGAGAAAGGGGAGCAAUCCCUGAGUAAAGUGGCGCACGGGUGAGUAACACGUGAAUAAUCUACCUCCGAGUGGGGAAUAACUGAGAGAAAUCUUAGCUAAUACCGCAUAACACUUGCGAGUCAAAGCAGCAAUGCGCUUGGAGAGGAGUUCGCGGCCGAUUAGUUAGUUGGCGGGGUAAUGGCCCACCAAGACGAUGAUCGGUA